CAAUAGCGUAUAUUAAAGUUGUUGCGGUAAAAAAGCUCGUAGUUGGAUUUCUGUUGAGAGCGACCGGUCCAUACCAUGUAUGCGUAUCUGGCUUGCUCUCGGCAUCCUCUCGAUAGACGUUACUGCGCUUGAUUGCGUGGUGCGGAUCUCGGGACUUUUACUUUGAGGAAAUUAGAGUGUUCACGGCAGGCUUUCGCCAGAAUACAUUAGCAUGGAAUAAUACUAUAGGAUCUUGGUUCUAUUUUGUUGGUUUCUAGAAUUGAGAUAAUGAUUAAUAGGGACAAUUUGGGGCAUUCGUAUCAACACGUCAGAGGUGGAAUUCUUGGAUUGUGUUGCGACGAACUACUGCGAAAGCAUUUGCCAAGGAUGUUUUCAUUGA
rnacentral:rRNA from 1 species